UACGAAGGGUGCAAGCGUUACUCGGAAUUACUGGGCGUAAAGCGUGCGUAGGCGGUUUGUUAAGUCCGCUGUGAAAGCCCUGGGCUCAACCUGGGAAUUGCAGUGGAUACUGGCGAGCUAGAGUGCGGUAGAGGAUGGUGGAAUUCCCGGUGUAGCGGUGAAAUGCGUAGAGAUCGGGAGGAACAUCAGUUGCGAAGGCGGCUCUCUGGACCAGCACUGACACUGAGGCACGAAAGCGUGGGGAGCAAACAGG
rnacentral:rRNA from 1 species